GAAACGCUAGCGGCAGGCCUAACACAUGCAAGUCGAACGGUAACAGGAAUUAGCUUGCUAAUUUGCUGACGAGUGGCGCACGGGUGCGUAACGCGUAUACAAUCUACCUUUUGCUGAGGGAUAGCCCAGAGAAAUUUGGAUUAAUACCUCAUGGUAUUAUUGAUAGGCAUCUAUUAAUAAUUAAAGGUUACGGCAAAAGAUGAGUAUGCGUCCCAUUAGCUAGUUGGUGAAGUAACGGUUCACCAAGGCAACGAUGGGUAGGGGUCCUGAGAGGGAGAUCCCCCACACUGGUACUGAGACACGGACCAGACUCCUACGGGAGGCAGCAGUGAGGAAUAUUGGACAAUGGGCGAGAGCCUGAUCCAGCCAUGCCGCGUGCAGGAAGACUGCCCUAUGGGUUGUAAACUGCUUUUAUACAGGAAGAAUAAGCCUUACGUGUAAGGUGAUGACGGUACUGUAAGAAUAAGGACCGGCUAACUCCGUGC
rnacentral:rRNA from 1 species